rnacentral:misc_RNA from 1 species
CCAGUGGUUAGAUAAUCAUUUACUUAAAAAACAAUGCUACUUAGGUAAUGCAAGACCCCCAUGUGCAACCUCCAAUACAAGUGCAAAAGAAAACAACCAAAACAGAAUGUGCAAUGUAAACUACUUUCUUCUGUCUUCCUUGCUUAAGCUUCCUGGCUUCCUCAUUGACAAGCAAACUUUAUAUCAUCUACUCCAUUUAG